CAGUCGCCGCGGUAAUACAGAGGGCGCGAGCGUUAAUCGGAUUUACUGGGCGUAAAGCGUGCGUAGGCGGCUUCUUAAGUCGGAUGUGAAAUCCCUGAGCUUAACUUAGGAAUUGCAUUCGAUACUGGGAAGCUAGAGUAUGGGAGAGGAUGGUAGAAUUCCAGGUGUAGCGGUGAAAUGCGUAGAGAUCUGGAGGAAUACCGAUGGCGAAGGCAGCCAUCUGGCCUAAUACUGACGCUGAGGUACGAAAGCAUGGGGAGCAAACAGGAUUAGAUACCCCCGUAGUCCCUGUCUCUUAUAC
rnacentral:rRNA from 1 species